rnacentral:tRNA from 1 species
GCCCCGGUAGCUCAGUGGUGGAGCGAUUGCCUCGUAAGCAAUAGGUCGCGGGUUCAAUCCCCGCUCGGGGCU